rnacentral:rRNA from 3 species
AUGCAUGUCUAAGUACAAGCCUUAACAUGGUGAAACCGCGAAUGGCUCAUUAAAUCAGUUAUGGUUCCUUAGAUCGUACAAUCCUACUUGGAUAACUGUAGUAAUUCUAGAGCUAAUACAUGCAAGCAAGCUCCGACCUUCGGGAAAGAGCGCUUUUAUUAGACCAAAACCAAUCGGGGGCAACCUCGUCUCGUUGGUGACUCUGGAUAACUUUGAGCUGAUCGCAUGGCCACGAGCCGGCGACGUAUCUUUCAAAUGUCUGCCCUAUCAACUUUCGAUGGUACGUGAUAUGCCUACCAUGGUUGUAACGGGUAACGGGGAAUCAGGGUUCGAUUCCGGAGAGGGAGCAUGAGAAACGGCUACCACA